rnacentral:rRNA from 1 species
AUUGAACGCUGGCGGCAGGCCUAACACAUGCAAGUCGAACGAGUGGCGGACGGGUGAGUAAUGUCUGGGAAACUGCCCGAUGGAGGGGGAUAACUACUGGAAACGGUAGCUAAUACCGCAUACCAUCGGAUGUGCCCAGAUGGGAUUAGCUUGUAGGUGAGGUAACGGCUCACCUAGGCGACGAUCCCUAGCUGGUCUGAUAGGAGGACCAGCCACAUUGGACUGGAGACACGGUCCAGACUCCGACGGGAGGCAGCAGUGGGGAAUAUUGCACAAUGGGCGCAAGCCUGAUGCAGCCAUGCCGCGUGUAUGAAGAAGGCCGUCGGGUUGUAAAGUACUUUCAGCGGGGAGGCGUUACCCGCAGAAGAAGCACCGGCUAACUCCGUGCCAGCCGCCGCGGUAAUAC